AAUAUUGCACAAUGGAGGAAACUCUGAUGCAGCGACGCCGCGUGAAUGACGAAGGCCUUCGGGUCGUAAAAUUCUGUCCUUGGGGACGAUAAUGACGGUACCCAAGGAGGAAGCCCCGGCUAACUACGUGCCAGCAGCCGCGGUAAUACGUAGGGGGCGAGCGUUGUCCGGAAUUACUGGGCGUAAAGGGUACGUAGGCGGCUAUAUAAGUCAGGUGUGAAAUAACAGUGCUUAACACUGGAAUUGCAUUUGAAACUGUGUAGCUUGAGUGCAGGAGAGGAAAGUGGAAUUCCUAGUGUAGCGGUGAAAUGCGUAGAGAUUAGGAGGAACACCAGUGGCGAAGGCGACUUUCUGGACUGUAACUGACGCUGAGGUACGAAAGCGUGGGUAGCGAACA
rnacentral:rRNA from 1 species